AUUGCAGAAUGCAGCUGAGGGGCAUAAGGGUUUGAGUUUUAUCCAAAGUUUGAAUGCUGGUGGAACGGGAUUUCUAAGUGAAAGCCCCGAGAAAUGAAUUACAUAAAAACAUAGCUGUGGGCAUAAACAUUGGAUUAGGAAGGUCAUUCUGCCCUCUCAAAGCUCAAAAAAAGAUUCAAUAUUCAAGCCUAAUAGAAUAUUCUACUCAAGCACGUAUGAUUCACCCAUCUUCAAAACAGAAGACCUGAAAAUCCUCCAGAAGAGAGAUGUCAACAUACCAAGAAAUGCAAGGGUCACCAACCACCAGACCAGAUCGCCCAGAGCCACAUCAGCCUGGCCUUGAAUACCUCCAGGGAUGGAGCAUCCACAACCUCCUUGGGCAGGAGCUACAGAGAUGAGAGAUGACAUUGGGAAAUACGUCAGAUCCUGUGAUUGGAAAUUUCAGUUUGUAUUAAGCUUCUGCUUAACUUCCUAAAAUUUGCAAUGCCUUCAGAAGGUCAGAAUUUUUCCCUUCUCUUGCGACUGCUUUUGCAAUCUGCGUUUCCCCGAGGUGCACAAUGCCCUCUGCUGGUGAACAGCUCGCAUACCAAGCCGGAUCACAAGACACAAGCUGGAAAAUAUAAGGACUUCUUAAUUUUUUAUUUAUUCAGCUUUAAAUGUACCAGGUAUUCAAAGCACUAAUACUUAAACAGAGAUGCUAUGAAUCUUUAUUCAUCUUUAUUUAGCGUGCUCGUAGAAAAAACACAGUUGAAACACUGCAUUUUAUCCCAACAUAUAUAUACAUGGGAAGAUUUUGCCUAGAUAGUGCUCUGGUAAAGGUUUCCACUUUUGUAGAAAAAAGGAUUAAAAAAAUAAUUGAAAAUAAUUGGAUGAAGAAUGGACAUAGGCAACUUGUCUUCCCUAAUCCCAUCUCCCUGAUCAUAGAAUGGCCUGGGUUGAAAAGGACCACAAUGAUCAUCUAGUUUCAACCCCUCUGCCAUGGGCAGGGUCACCAACCACCAGACCAGGCUGCCCAGAGCCACAUCCAGCCUGGCCUUGAAUGCCUCCAGGCAAUUCAUCCACAACCUGUGAUAUUCCUUUCUUUGAAAACUGGGAAGAAGGAGGGGAUCAUUGAAAAGGAAAGAAAGAGUAUAUAUGAAGUGGUGGCUGGAAAUGAACUUCAAGCUGCAAGUAAGGAUGCUUUCCAUCGUCAUUUCAUUCCUAUUAUAUUCCAAAAGACAUGGAUUUAUACUCUCUAUCAACAGCAUCAGGACAAUAGAGGUGUACUUGAUAGAUACAUUACUAAGCUUCCUUGACCCAAGAUUUUAAACUCAGUGUUUAUGUAUAGUUUUGUAACUUUUUAAACACCAUCACUUUCCUAUGUCAAAGACUAUCAGUCUUAAAGUAUGCUAACCUUUACACUCGAGAAGGCAAAAUUUUAAGCAAGACAUGGCAAAAAAAAGUGCAAAUGCCACACAUAGUACUUAUAAGAUUCCAGGAAGAAAGAAAAUAACAGAUACACAAAGCUUUUGUAAAAUUCAGACACGCUAUUUUGUUCUUCUUCAGCUGUAUUUAAAUACUACUGCUGCUGAAAGGUGUUGAGAUUAUCCAGAAUAAACCGAUUUAGACAUUAAAGAAAUUUUUUGCCUUCAGUCAGAUUGCUAGUGACAGUGUAGUGGGUUGCAAAGAGCUGAUUGUGAAAUCAGGUGAAAAACAGUAAUUCAGAACAUUUGUUUGAACACGACAGAGCUGACUGGAGGCUCAUCGUAAUGCUCCA
ensembl:lncRNA